UCAGUUUGAACCGAAGCCUAUACACUCUACUGUUUCUCUUAUUUACGAAACUGAAGCAUAACCCUCUCCGACAAAGUCCUAUUGCUUUACGACCGAAGCCCACCCAAACUCAUCUCAUUUCUCUCAAUUCUUCACAUUCUUUCUUGGGAGAACUUCAUUUCUCUUCAACCACAUCUCGCACCUCAAGGUAUUUCUUCUUCUUCUCCGAAUCAUCAUCGUCUUCGUUACCUUGCGCGUCUCCUCCAACCCCAAACCUCAUACUCUGUUAGGGCUUCUCUUCCAUUUCGCCUUUUCCUUUGUUUUCACCGAUUAAAAUCCAUUUUCCAACUUUUCCAUCGAUUAAACACCAUUCUACCGAUUGAUUCUUCGAUUAGCGCCAUUCUCACCGUUCAAUCUCCAUUUCACACCGAUUAAUCGGUUCAUUUUAUGUUUUCCCCCUUUUCUAGGGUUCCAACGGUCCAUCAUUUCACACCGACACCGUACACUAGAGAACUGCAAUGAGAGGAUGGAGCAAUUACUAAAAACAUGUUUCUACAGAGUUUAGAAUUUAUUCAAUAAAUUCUAACUAUCAGAAAAAAAAAAUGUGUUCCAGUGGUUCUAGAGCUCGUCCUCAAGAAAUUGUCAGUUGAAGGUCAAGCAUAGCUGAUAAGAAGUCAUGCACAGAAGUAUUUCAUGAAAGUUCAGAAGAAUGGAACAAGUGAACAUGUACCUCUCCCUCGACCCAAAAGAAAAGCUGCUCAUCCAUACCCACAAAAGGCUUCUAAAAAUGCUCUCACUACAUCCAAAGUUACAAGGCCUUUGCAAUCUUCAUAUGCUUUGUCGGAAUCAUCAUUCAUUUACAGGCCAAACUCGUCAUCUGUGCUUAGAACUGCAGUUAGCAGUGUGCCAUUGCCAUCUUGGAGUUAUAAUCUUACGCCACAAGUUGGUAUUCUUCCUAAAGUGAUAAAAGCUCUUUUUCAACAUUUGGUAGCUUGGUGCUUGAGCAAAAUCUAAAAGGACAUGUUAAGUGGUGUCCAUUGUUGAAACAGACUCAGUCCUUAUUUGUCUAACCUUUCUAUCAAAAGGGUAUCAUUGUUGGCUCUGAUGGAGAGGAGGAAACAUCUGGGGUUGAUGAUUAAAGUUUGCCAACAAAACCAGUUUCUUCCUAAAUGAAGAGGAAUGCUCUUCAUGGAAUGAGUGUGCCUGAAUUUUGCAAGUUGAUUGAAAAGAUUGAAUUUCUUCAUGAGUCUUUGUGUAAAAAUAUUCAGGACUCAAUUCAAAUGUUAGAGGUCUGCAGCCUAUGGAUUAAAAAAGGAGUUGAAGAUAGGUAGCUAUUAGUGAAUUCUAUGAAUUUAUUUAAUGUCAAAUUUUGAUUACCUUAUGAGUUGUAAAAUAAUAUUCUCGGGGACUCCUAUUUAUGAGUUGUUUUGAACAUGAGUUGUAAAAUAACUUUUUGUUACAUGUAGUAAAUGUGGUUGGUGCCAUGGAAUUGAAUUUAGCAUAAUUUAAUUUACAAUUAUAUUUUCA